AGAUUUAAAAUUUUCUUCUGGCAUUUCUACAUCAGCUCUAAGCAAGAUAAUACCGGAAACGUGUAAAGCGAUUUACGAAACGUUGAGGAAAGAUUACAUGAGGUUUCCUACAAGCAAAGAAGAAUGGCUGGAAAUUGCUAAAGGUUUCCAUGAUCAUUGGAACUUUGUUAACUGUGGAGGCGCACUGGACGGAAAACAUAUAAGAAUUAUUCCUCCUGCCAAUUCUGGAGCAAAAUAUUACAAUUAUAAGAACUUUUAUAGUAUGGUUUUAAUGGCUCUGGUAGACUCAAACUAUGAGUUUAUUUUUGUUGACGUUGGUAAAAAUGGCAGGAUGUCCGAUGGGGGUGUUAUUGAAUACACAACCUUUUACAACAAAUUAUUAAGAGGACAAUUAAAUUUACCCGAGAGAAGCGAGAAUGAUCAUUAUUUAAAUUACGUUUUCAUUGGUGAUGAAGGUUUUGCAUUGAAUGAAAACCUUUUGACCCCCUACCCGCAAAGAGAACUUGAUCAUGAAAAACGAAUCUUCAAUUACAGACUCUCACGUGCUCGUAAUGUUGUUGAAAAUACUUUUGGCAUAAUUGCCUCUAGAUUUCAGAUACUACGUACACCUAUUAACAUGAAACCAGAAAAUAUAUGUUACAUAGUACUAGCAAUAUGUAGUAUUCAUAAUUUUUUAAGAAAGAGAAGUAAUUUUUAUAUGUCAGCAUCAACCGUGGACAGAGAAAAUAUUGAAUCGAGUACUGUUUUAAACGGAGAUUGGCGCCAAAACAGCUCUGAACUAACUCCAUUGAACAGAUAUUCGGCCAGAAAUGUGCCUUCCUUAGCUAAACAGAGUAGAGAUGAAUACAAAACAUAUUUCAAUACAAUAGGUAAGGUUUCUUGGCAAGAAACUAUGAUAAACGCUGGUAGAUCAUAGCUGUUAAUAUGGACAAACCUUUAAUUUUUAUGUAAUAAUCAUUUAAUUUAAUUUUAAAAUGAUAAUAAUCACUUACUUAUACGUAAUAAAAAGGUUUUCUGUGAAAAA